UGGGGAAUUUUGCGCAAUGGGCGAAAGCCUGACGCAGCAACGCCGCGUGGAGGAUGAAGGUCUUCGGAUCGUAAACUCCUGUCGAUGGGGAAGAAGGCCCGAAAGGGUUUGACUGUACCCGUUGAGGAAGCCACGGCUAACUCCGUGCCAGCAGCCGCGGUAAUACGGAGGUGGCAAGCGUUGUUCGGAAUUACUGGGCGUAAAGGGCGCGUAGGCGGUUUUGCAAGUCAGAUGUGAAAGCCCCGAGCUUAACUCGGGAAUUGCAUCUGAAACUGCUUAACUUGAGUUCUGGAUGGGGUAGUGGAAUUCCCAGUGUAGCGGUGAAAUGCGUAGAUAUUGGGAGGAACACCUGCGGCGAAGGCGGCUACCUGGACAGUGACUGACGCUGAGGCGCGAAAGCUAGGGGAGCGAACG
rnacentral:rRNA from 1 species